UGGAAAUCUAUUUAAUAAAUGAAGCUUUUAAAGAAGAUAAUACAUUUAUUAUAUUAAAAAUGCAAAAUUAACAUAACUACAUCGGGUUGUUCCAAGAAAAGGCUUCAAACCUUUUGAUUUAAGAAGAAUCGUGUAAAUAAUUUAUUAUUGCGAAGUGCGCAAUCAUCACGAGUCUCUAUGAGAUAUGGGGGCAUCAUAUGAACAAUCUGAAAAUACAAUUAUAACCUAUCUGUGUAAGAUAAAAGUAAUAUUCUACAAUCAAUUCCGAGCACUAGGGAUAAGAUUACCCAGCGUAACCACAUGGAUGCAUUGAUAGUAUUCAAGAAGCUAUAAAGUGCCAGCGCAACAUGAAUAUAUUUUUUUCAAUAGGAAGCAAUAUCAUGCUUUAAAUGUAUUAGUGCAAUUAAAAACAUAUUUUAUAAAUCCAAAAUCUUUA